UACGUAGGGUCCGAGCGUUGUCCGGAAUUAUUGGGCGUAAGGGCUCGUAGGCGGUUUGUUGCGUCGGGAGUGAAAACUUACAGCUUAACUGUGAGCGUGCUUCCGAUACGGGCAGACUUGAGGUAUUCAGGGGAGAACGGAAUUCCUGGUGUAGCGGUGAAAUGCGCAGAUAUCAGGAGGAACACCGGUGGCGAAGGCGGUUCUCUGGGAAUAUCCUGACGCUGAGGCACGAAGGCCAGGGGAGCAAACGGG
rnacentral:rRNA from 1 species